AUGGUGUACGUGGACUCAAGGGAUCCAAAGGUGAAAAGGGUGAAGAUGGUUUUCCAGGAUUUAAAGGUGACAUGGGUCUUAAAGGUGACCGGGGAGAAAUUGGUCAGCCAGGUCCACGAGGAGAAGAUGGCCCAGAAGGUCCAAAAGGUCGAGCUGGUCCAUCUGGGGACCCAGGUGCUGCUGGUCCAGCUGGGGAAAAGGGUAAGCUUGGUGUACCAGGACUGCCAGGAUAUCCAGGAAGACAAGGUCCAAAGGGCUCAACUGGUUUCCCAGGAUUUCCAGGUGCCAAUGGAGAGAAAGGUGCAAGGGGAUUGCAUGGCAAACCAGGCCCCAGAGGACAGCGAGGACCAACAGUAA
rnacentral:lncRNA from 1 species